rnacentral:rRNA from 1 species
UACGUAGGGCGCAAGCGUUAUCCGGAAUUAUUGGGCGUAAAGAGCUCGUAGGCGGUUUGUCGCGUCUGCCGUGAAAGUCCGGGGCUCAACUCCGGAUCUGCGGUGGGUACGGGCAGACUAGAGUGAUGUAGGGGAGACUGGAAUUCCUGGUGUAGCGGUGAAAUGCGCAGAUAUCAGGAGGAACACCGAUGGCGAAGGCAGGUCUCUGGGCAUUAACUGACGCUGAGACACGAAAGCCAGGGGAGCGAACGGG